AAAAAUAGUUAAAUUACAUUACCCGAAUAUAAAAGAUCUAAGUAUAUUUAAAGUUGUUAGGCUAUUUUAUUAUAUUCUGUAGCAUUAGCUAUAAAAAAAGUACCUUAGAGGUGAAAGGCCCACAAUUUUAUUGAUAGCUGGAUAAAUGGUAAAUAUAUUAAGUUUAAAGUAAAUUUACAAAGUGAUAAGAUUUUGUAAGGUAUAAAUUUCUGUAUUUAUUUUAGUGCCAUUAACUAAUAAUUCUAGGCAUUCAUUAGGUGGUAAAUUAUUUUUCAAUGAAAUAAUUUUAUAGUAACAUUUCCCUUUACCCAUUCAGUUUUAGUAAGUUGAUAAUGUAUAAAUAAGUAUAUAAAAUAUAAAUUUUAAUUAAGGAAUUCGGCAAAUAAUAAAUACGACUGUUUAACAAAAACAUAGCCGGUAGCUAUUAAUUAUCGGUGAUGCCUGCCCGGUGAACAUUUAACGGCCGCAGUACUGUGACUGUGCAAAGGUAGCAUAAUCAUUUGGCUUUUAAUUGAAGUCUAGUAUGAAAGGAUAAACGUAUUUAAGCUGUCUUAAUAUAAAAUUUAUUAAAAUUAUUUAUAAGGUGAAAAUACCUUAACUAAGAAAAAAAGACGAGAAGACCCUUAGAAUUUUAAGAACGAUCAAAGCCGUAUUUGGUGUGAUUUUUGUUGGGGCAACAUUCUUUCAAUAUGAACAAAGAACUACUGACUAGUUACAUAACGAGUAAGCUUAAAAAAGUUGAAAUUACCUAAGGGAUAACAGCAUAAUUUUAGAUAAAGAUUGUGACCUCGAUGUUGGACUAGGAGCUAUUAAGGCUAGUCGUUUUAAUAUAAUAGGUUCUGUUCGAACUUUACUUCCUA
rnacentral:rRNA from 1 species